rnacentral:rRNA from 1 species
AGCUCCAAUAGCGUAUAUUAAAGUUGUUGCAGUUAAAAAGCUCGUAGUUGGAUUUGUGGCGUACGGUGUGUUCCGGGCACUUGUUGUCUGAGUAACCUGCUGUUGCCAUCCUUGGGUGGAACCUGUGUGGCAUUAGGUUGUCGUGCAGGGGAUGCCCAUCAUUUACUGUGAAAAAAUUAGAGUGUUCAAAGCAGGCUUAGGCCGUUGGAUACAUUAGCAUGGAAUAAUGAGAUAGGGCCACGGCGGUCUAUUUUGUUGGUUUGCACGUUGUGGUAAUGAUUAACAGGAACGGUUGGGGGUAUUCGUAUUCAAUUGUCAGAGGUGAAAUUCUUGGAUUUGUGGAAGACGAACUACUGCGAAAGCAUUUACCAAGGAUGUUUUCAUUAAUCAAGAACGAAAG